UGAGGGUUCAGAUUGUCUAGAAGCCAAAGAAAAAGUCCAUGUGAUUGGAAAUCGGCUCAAGCUUCUCCUGAAGGAGGUCAGCCGUCAUAUCAAGGAUCUGGAGAAGCUACUAGGCAUGUCAAGCAGUCAGCAGGAUUUGUCUUCAUGGUCUUCUGCAGAUGAGGUGGACACGUCGGGGUCAGUGAGUCCUACAUCAGGAAGAAGUACCCCAAACAGACAGAAAUCGGUCCACAAAAGGUGGCUCCGAUUCCUCCCUUUCUGAAACCAGGCCAGCACGGGCAGGUCGAGAUUUCUUGUUCCGGGUCCUCAGGGCAGCUCUUCCGAUUCAGCUGCUCCUACUACUCCUUAUCGGACUCACCUCCCGUGUACCCAUAUCGGAAGAAGACUACAGCUGUGCCCUCUCCAACAACUUUGCCAGAUCGUUCCAUCCCAUGCUCAGAUAUACCAACGGUCCUCCUCCCCUCUGAAGCAAGCACACGUGCAGGCAGCAAGAGGGGAAGCAGGUCCAAAGCAACCCCAGGCUGUCAGAGAAGGUGUGAUCUUGGCAGAGGUCAUCAUAUGGCAGCUUCCGUUCUCCCUAACCCGUGUAUAAAAGAAGGAAAAAAAAAGCCUUUGGACAUGGACAGUAAACAACAGGAGGCAAACAAACAUGUAAUUGGUACAGUGUCAUUUGACACUCUGAGCCUUAAUACUAAAGAAAUUAGGGACAUAUAGGGUUCCCUAGACCCAUGAAGUCUGGGCCUUUGGCGUAGCCAAUGGCUCUCCCUACUGGGCCAUCUGGGCAGUUUUCCUAUGGUGCUGCUCGAUCAACCCGAAAGCCCCUUUCCCACGCACCAUGUCAGUAUCAUACAAUCCACCAACCCACACCUGCUGGAGGGGUUAGGACCUCCUCACCAUUUUUAGGAGUUUACGUGGCAGCUUCCUUUGUACCUUGUUUUCUUUGGGGCAUGAU
rnacentral:lncRNA from 1 species